GACGAACGCUGGCGGCGUGCCUAAUACAUGCAAGUUGAGCGCUGAAGGUUGGUACUUGUACCAACUGGAUGAGCAGCGAACGGGUGAGUAACGCGUGGGGAAUCUGCCUUUGAGCGGGGGACAACAUUUGGAAACGAAUGCUAAUACCGCAUAAAAACUUUAAACACAAGUUUUAAGUUUGAAAGAUGCAAUUGCAUCACUCAAAGAUGAUCCCGCGUUGUAUUAGCUAGUUGGUGAGGUAAAGGCUCACCAAGGCGAUGAUACAUAGCCGACCUGAGAGGGUGAUCGGCCACAUUGGGACAGAGACACGGCCCAAACUCCUACGGGAGGCAGCAGUAGGGAAUCUUCGGCAAUGGACGAAAGUCUGACCGAGCAACGCCGCGUGAGUGAAGAAGGUUUUCGGAUCGUAAAACUCUGUUGGUAGAGAAGAACGUUGGUGAGAGUGGAAAGCUCAUCAAGUGACGGUAACUACCCAGAAAGGGACGGCUAACUACGU
rnacentral:rRNA from 1 species